CCUACGGGGGGCAGCAGUGAGGAAUAUUGGUCAAUGGACGAGAGUCUGAACCAGCCAAGUAGCGUGAAGGAUGACUGCCCUAUGGGUUGUAAACUUCUUUUAUAUGGGAAUAAAACGUUCCACGUGUGGGAUUUUGUAUGUACCAUAUGAAUAAGGAUCGGCUAACUCCGUGCCAGCAGCCGCGGUAAUACGGAGGAUCCGAGCGUUAUCCGGAUUUAUUGGGUUUAAGGGGGGCGUAGGUGGAUUGUUAAGUCAGUUGUGAAAGUUUGCGGCUCAACCGUAAAAUUGCAGUUGAAACUGGCAGUCUUGAGUACAGUAGAGGUGGGCGGAAUUCGUGGUGUGGCGGUGAAAUGCUUGGAUAUCACGAAGAACUCCGAUUGCGAAGGCAGUUCACUGGACUGCAACUGACACUGAGGCUCGAAAGUGUGGGUAUCAAACAGGAUUAGAACCCUUGUAGUC
rnacentral:rRNA from 1 species